rnacentral:rRNA from 1 species
GACGAACGCUGGCGGCGUGCUUAACACAUGCAAGUCGAACGGGAGUAUUGAAGAAGCUUGCUUUAGAGAUACUUAGUGGCGGACGGGUGAGUAACGCGUGAGGAGCUGUCCUAUGCAGGGGGACAACAGCUGGAAACGGUUGCUAAUACCCCAUAAGCCGAGAGGUAAAAGGAUCAAUCCGGCAGAGGAGGUACUCGCGUCCUAUCAGCUAGUAGGUGAGGUAACGGCUCACCUAGGCGAAGACGGGUAGCCGGCCUGAGAGGGCGAACGGCCACACUGGAACUGAGAUACGGUCCAGACUCCUACGGGAGGCAGCAGUGGGGAAUAUUGGGCAAUGGGGGAAACCCUGACCCAGCGACGCCGCGUGGGUGAAGAAAUCCUUCGGGAUGUAAAGCCCUGUUGUAUGGGAAGAGCGGAAGACGGUACCAUACGAGGAAGCCCCGGCAAACUACGUG